GACGAACGCUGGCGGCGUGCCUAAUACAUGCAAGUAGAACGCUGAAGGAGGAGCUUGCUUCUCUGGAUGAGUUGCGAACGGGUGAGUAACGCGUAGGUAACCUGCCUGGUAGCGGGGGAUAACUAUUGGAAACGAUAGCUAAUACCGCAUAAGAGUAGAUGUUGCAUGACAUUUGCCUAAAAGGUGCAAUUGCAUCACUACCAGAUGGACCUGCGUUGUAUUAGCUAGUUGGUGAGGUAACGGCUCACCAAGGCGACGAUACAUAGCCGACCUGAGAGGGUGAUCGGCCACACUGGGACUGAGACACGGCCCAGACUCCUACGGGAGGCAGCAGUAGGGAAUCUUCGGCAAUGGACGGAAGUCUGACCGAGCAACGCCGCGUGAGUGAAGAAGGUUUUCGGAUCGUAAAGCUCUGUUGUAAGAGAAGAACGAGUGUGAGAGUGGAAAGUUCACACUGUGACGGUAUCUUACCAGAAAGGGACGGCUAACUACGUGCCAGCAGCCGCGGUAAUACGUAGGUCCCGAGCGUUGUCCGGAUUUAUUGGGGCGUAAAGCGAGCGCAGGCGGUUAGAUAAGUCUGAAGUUAAAGGCUGUGGCUUAACCAUAGUACGCUUUGGAAACUGUUUAACUUGAGUGCAAGAGGGGAGAGUGGAAUUCCAUGUGUAGCGGUGAAAUGCGUAGAUAUAUGGAGGAACACCGGUGGCGAAAGCGGCUCUCUGGCUUGUAACUGACGCUGAGGCUCGAAAGCGUGGGGAGCAAACAGG
rnacentral:rRNA from 1 species